CAGGCUUUUCCUUCUCUCUAUCGCGAACCCUUCAUGAGCACGCUAGCGAGGAAAAAGACACAGCGAUUUACUGAGACGAGGUCGGGAGUUAGAGACAAUGCCAAUUCAUCAUUCCUGCGCCAUCUCGCGCUGCUCCGCCUUUCUUUUCUGAGAUCGGUCAGGGUUUUUUUUGUGUUUCCCUUUGUAUCUUCCUUUUGAUGCAUUGCAACGGAUCCUGUAAUCGAUGGCGAGCCAACCCCGUUGAAGGACCAUUUGACUUUGUUCUGUGCUGCACAGCAGAGUGUGGUAGGCCAGCUGCAACAAAACAAAAACACACCACGCCUCUUUGAACUUACUGUUCCCUUUCUUCACACACAUCCCCCUGGACUUACGGACGGUUUAUUUUAAGGACUUUUUACGGAGUCUAUACAUCCCACGAACAGGAAGGGAAGUGGGUGUGGGCGGCUGGAUUUCUUUUUCCAGCUUAAUGGUUGUUGCACCUUGUUUACAAAGUCUAUGAAGUUACAAACAAAUGUUGCCAUUUGGAUUUUGCUAAUUGAUAUUGUGGUUCAUUUUGAAAGUGAACUUUGUACAUUUAGAAGGGUGCACCCAGGUAAGGGUUUUUUAAAGUGAUUACUGUGAUUGUACCACAGGGUUGUCACUGAGGAAAAUACUGGUACCAAAAACAGAGACUUUUAUUUAUAAUGUUUUGUAUGUUUGUAAUUUUCUUUCUUUUGUUUCUGGAUGACUAAAAAUACAAAGCCGGCAUUUUUCAAAACUCACAGUUGCCUGAGUCUCACUCAGUUUGCCUCUCCUGUACGUAGCCGAACCUACUGGUCCAAAUCAUUGAGCUCUUUUGCAUCAAAUUUGGGUGAAGUACCUUUUGGUCUUAGAGUAUUAGAGACACAUUAGUGUUACAAAUGCAUACAUGCACCACCCUCACAUACUUCUCUGCCACUUCUGACUUGUUAAUGUAGUACCACAGUUCCUGUCUUGGGAACUCUAACACAAUGACAGUUCAACUUGACCUUCUCUAUACUUCUUCAUCAACUGUUAAAGAAUUUUUAUAUGUAUUAUGCCUUAUUGUAGUUAAAAAUCCCUAGUUGUUUAGCCUCAUUUAAACUCUUGCAUAUACUGUGUUUGCUGACAAAGCUUGCAUGAGGAAGCUGCUAUAGGAAGCCUCACCCUUUGCUGAGUUUACUGAGAUAAGCUUGACCAGUUCCUGUUGUGACAGUUUGAACAUAUAUGUUUUAUGCUUAUCACCUUGUAAGGAGUUGUUUUGUACUCACAAGGGGUGGCGCCCUGAAAUGUGCUACGUAAGAGCUGUCUAUAAAUAAAGAGAGAACC